CCGGGAACCCCGAACAUCCCCUUUCUCUACUCUUUCCCUUUGGAGUCUAUAGAGGGAGAAGCAGAGCCUAAGGCUUCAUCAGUUUGAAUACUGGCUGGGGCUGGGCAAGUUAGUGGCUCAAAGUGUUGAAUCUGUCCCUAAAGCAGGGACAGAAAUGGAGGCUCAGGAGGUAGAGGUGGCAGUGGGCGUGCAGGAGAAGCUGUAGGUCAGGAGGUAGAGGUGGCAGUGGGCGUGCAGGAGAACUGUAGGUCAGAGUGGAGAGGUGGCAGUGGGCGUGCAGGAGAAGGUGUAGGUCAGGGGGUAGAGGUGGCAGUGGGCGUGCAGGAGAAGCUGUAGGUCGGGGGGUAGAGGUGGCAGUGGGCGUGCAGGAGAAGCUGUAGGUCGGAGAGGGUGCAGAGUGGAGAACAGAUGAGCUGGAGUCACACCAUGCCCUAUACCCAGCCAGAGGCCGAAGUGAGCCUGUCACGGUAAUGCCACUGCCUGCUUGAUUCCCUCCCAUGCCUAGCCUGGGUUCUUCAUGAUCCCUGAGGCCCUCUUUGAUGUCAUCCCGCUGCCUCAAAACCUGUGUGUGCUGGUGGCUCCCUCUGCUUUCCUUCCAGAUGACUCCUUCGCUUCAGCUCAAAUGUCACCUUUGGCUGUUAAAAUCCUUUCCGGAGGAAGUUGUAAACAAUGCCUACCCCUCCUCCCGAGGUCUCUGAUUCCACUCCAGGGAAGAUUGCUCUGGGGGAGCCAAUGAGUUUGUUGGGAUUACUUCCAGAGCAUAGGUGAGGGGUUAGUUACUUGAAUAUGAGUGCUGCCCACCAAAAGACCGCACUGAAAAGUCUUUACCCAGCAGGGGUGAUGGU
rnacentral:lncRNA from 1 species